GUAGCUAUAGUUUAAUAAAAACAUUAGAUUGUGAAUCUAAUAAUAGAAGCCCACAACUUCUUAACUACC
rfam:Callithrix jacchus chromosome 6, whole genome shotgun sequence